rfam:Kushneria marisflavi strain SW32, complete genome.
GUUCGCUGCCACAUAGGCAGCUCAGAAA